UCUGGUUGAUCCUGCCAGUAGUCAUAUGCUUGUCUCAAAGAUUAAGCCAUGCAUGUCUAAGUAUAAGCGACUUGUACUGUGAAACUGCGAAUGGCUCAUUAAAUCAGUUAUGGUUUCUUUGAUGGUACCUUGCUACUUGGAUACCCGUAGUAAUUCUAGAGCUAAUACAUGCAGGACUGCCCGACUUCGGAAGGGCUGUAUUUAUUAGAUAAGAAACCAUCUCGGGUCCGCCCGGUUGUGUGCUGAGUCAUAAUAACUGCUCGAAUCGCACGGCUCUACGCCGGCGAUGGUUCAUUCAAAUUUCUGCCCUAUCAGCUUUCGAUGGUAGGAUAGAGGCCUACCAUGGCGUUAACGGGUAACGGAGAAUUAGGGUUCGAUUCCGGAGAGGGAGCCUGAGAAAUGGCUACCACAUCCAAGGAAGGCAGCAGGCGCGUAAAUUGCCCGAAUCCUGACACAGGGAGGUAGUGACAAGAAAUAACAAUACAGGGCUACUUCUAGUCUUGUAAUUGGAAUGAGUACAACUUACAUCUCUUCACGAGGAUCAAUUGGAGGGCAAGUCUGGU
rnacentral:rRNA from 1 species